rnacentral:rRNA from 1 species
UUACCUAAAACCCCAUUUCGAAACCCUUCCGAAUCAGGGCAAUGAAUUAGGGGAGCCAACGGGGACUUGGGCAAAUUUACGACCCGAGUCCCUCCCAAGGUUUCCAUCCCGUUGGCCCGUGAAAACAGGGUUUUCCAAUAGGGGACAGACAACAUGCAGAUGGUGGCACUCGUUCCCUUACAACAUAGGUUAAGUCCCGAAUCAGUCAUCCUUUGAUCGAGUGCCAUCAAUAUUUGGGCCUUAGGAUUCCGGUGACAACCUGCAGGUAAGAUGUCUGAUCCGUUAAUGUUCAAGUGCUAUGAUCAUGGCUUAGCGUCGGUGCUACAAAUGGCGAUACUGGAGGCACCUCGCGAGAGGAGAUAAUCCCGAUAAGUCCGUUCCUCAAGUUCGAUGUAGGCGCUCUUUCGGUAAUGAACCUGAGAAUCGAUAGUAUUCGGUUAGCAUGCCGCUGUGAAUACGUUUCGGGCCUAGACGCUAGCCGCGUCACGUGUGAGAGUUGUACCGCUAAGUCAAAAGGCAACUUACUCUCUCUGCAACGGUAACUC